rnacentral:rRNA from 1 species
GUGAACUGGGGUGCAGAUGGCGGAUAUAAAGGUAGGGGGGAAACGUUAGUCGGGGUGACUGGGGUUCACGGGCGUGCAGGCGGUGGACUAAGGCUGGCGUGAAAGCUGGCGGCUAAGCCGCGAGAGGUCGUUGGGUACUGGUUGACUAGAGGACGGUAGAGGCGUGUGGAAUUCCGGGUGUAGUGGUGAAAUGCGUAGAGAUCCGGAGGAACACCAGUGGCGAAGGCGACACGCUGGUCCGUACCUGACGCUAAAACGCGACAGCAUGGGGAGCGAACGGGAUUAGAUACCCUGGUAGUC